AAAAAUUUAGUUAAUUCUAUAACAUUAGUUUGUCAAACUAAAAUAAUUUUAAAAAAAAUAAUUUUUA
rnacentral:tRNA from 1 species